AGCUCAUAUUGUAAGCUCCUAUCUUCAUUAAAUGUUUGCCCCUUUCUGUUUUGAGUGGCUGCUUUAAAGAUCUGACAUUCCAUAGGAUAUGUGUUUUAUUCAGCUCCAGAUUUGUAGAAUUUUAAGAAAUGUCUUAUAUUUGAUGGAAUUGUUUGGUUGGUUGGUUUUUGAUAUAGUCUUCCCUAUUUGGCCCAGGCUGGCCUCAAACAGUCUUUUUACUGAGGUAUCUAGGUUACUGAGGUCAUGAAAAGACUGAAACAAAAAGAAGCAAGUAUGUUUCACAUUCUAGAAAUCAUCGACUUGCUGUACGACUAAGCAGAAUAUUAUUAUGCGAUGAAAAGUACUGCAGCACUCUGAAGACCCCUGUGGAAGGCCUCACCCUCCCUGGGGAGCAGAAAGGUGUCUCUGCAUGUUUGUGAACAGUUGUUAGCUGAAGUUGCAGUCCAUCUGUGUUUGCAGCCUCCAGGGGUUGGUAGCAAAGGUGUAUUCUGGGAGGAGAAGUUUGUUGUAGUCAUUUUUCUAUUUCUGUAAUAAAACACCAUGACCAAGGCAA